UACGUAGGGUGCGAGCGUUAAUCGGAAUUACUGGGCGUAAAGCGUGCGCAGGCGGUUUGUUAAGAUAGGCGUGAAAUCCCCGGGCUCAACCUGGGAACUGCAUUUGUGACUGCAUGGCUAGAGUGUGUCAGAGGGGGGUAGAAUUCCACGUGUAGCAGUGAAAUGCGUAGAUAUGUGGAGGAAUACCGAUGGCGAAGGCAGCCCCCUGGGAUAACACUGACGCUCAUGCACGAAAGCGUGGGGAGCAAACAGGAUUAGAAACCCC
rnacentral:rRNA from 1 species